GCGGCCGGGAGGCGGCUUCGCGCCGUGGGCGGGAGGCUGCGGCGGGCGACCCGUCCUGGACACGCGAGGAAGAGCGAGCCGAUGGCGGCAGCGGCCGCGCUUCGACCCGGUGUGCCAUUUUGAAGACUGAGACCAUAGAGUUCUAAGAAUAAAGGAAAGAGCCCUUGGGAAAUUAUUAUAUAUAGCAAAAAUGUGAAUCCUCAGAUGGAAUGAAAGGCCUGCACCAUAGACAUUGAAGCAUUUACACCCCGCUUGAAGAGUUUGAAAUGGACUUUACUACUGAGAAAUCAAGAUGGCAGCCCAUUAUGGGGGAAUUGAGGAAAAUGGAUUAAUGCAAGAAUGCUGUAAUAUUAUACAACCAACACAGGAUUCUUUUAAUGUGGAUUCCAUGAAAUGAAUGAUUCUUACCCAACACAAAUGGACAGUGGAAUUUACUUCCUAAAGACUUGUUACAUGUCAUGUACAUUUUUGACAUCUGGAGAAGACUCUACAAUUCUACAAAUGGUAGUUUGUAUUCCUGGAAUUUCUUGCAGUUUGAUUUGAAGUGACCUUAUGGAAUGUUAACUUUAAUAAAAUCUCUAAAACUUAAAA
rnacentral:lncRNA from 1 species